AUUGAACGCUGGCGGCAGGCUUAACACAUGCAAGUCGAGCGAGCGGCGGACUGGUGAGUCAUGUCUGGGAAACUGCCUGAUCGAGGGGGAUAACUACUGGAAACGGUAGCUAAUACCGCACACCAUCAGAUGUGCCCAGAGGGGAUUAGCUAGUAGGUGGGGUAAUGGCUCACCUAGGUGACGAUCCCUAGCUGGUCUGAGAGGCUGACCGGCCACACUGGAACUGAGACACGGUCCAGACUCCUACGGGAGGCAGCAGUGGGGAAUAUGUCACAAUGGGCGAAAGCCUGAUACAGCCAUGCCGCGUGUGUGAAGAAGGCCUUCGGGUUGUAAAGCACUUUCAGCGAGGAGGCGUUACUCGCAGAAGAAGCACCGGCUAACUCCGUGCCAGCAGCCGCGGUAAUUC
rnacentral:rRNA from 1 species